UACGAAGGGAGCUAGCGUUGUUCGGAAUCACUGGGCGUAAAGCGCACGUAGGCGGCUGUGUCAGUCAGGGGUGAAAUCCCGGAGCUCAACUUCGGAACUGCCUUUGAUACAGCACGUCUUGAGUCCGAUAGAGGUGGGUGGAAUUCCUAGUGUAGAGGUGAAAUUCGUAGAUAUUAGGAAGAACACCGGUGGCGAAGGCGGCUCACUGGCUCGUAUCUGACGCUCAGGCGCGACAGCGUGGGGAUCAAACAGG
rnacentral:rRNA from 1 species